rnacentral:lncRNA from 1 species
AGAAUUUGAAAAGUUAAACUCAUAGGGUCAUAAAAGUUUGCAGUUUUACGUGGACUGAAUCUCAUUAUGACUCAUUUUCUAAAACUCCACUCUGGCUAUAGCGUGCCAUGAUUGCACCUGUGAAUAGUCACUGCACUGCAGUCUGGGCAACAUAGUGAGACCUUGUCUCUAAAAAAGCAAAAAUAACCCUCCACUCAGGUGUUACUUCCUCUAAGAAAACUUUACUGAUCCCUCCCUACAUCCCCAAGAUGCCUGGGUUUCUUGCUAUCCAGCACUCAUCAGCCUAUAGUAGCAGGUUGUUUACUUGCCUUCUCCCUCCACUGAUGGCCGAACAUGUGCUUGCAAUCACUUCCAGGUAAAUGCAGUCAUUUCCAGAAUGAACACCAUUGUUCAGGAACUCCCACUCUUUCCCUGGAGCAGCAUCAAUUUACCUCAGCUUCGUGGAGAGCUCCUGGUGUCUGGUCACAGCAAAAGUCCCUGCUGGCAUCUGAGAUGUUCGUGUGCCCCACAACGACAUUUUGGUCAACAAUGGACUGCAUAUACCAUGUGGCCCCAUAAGAUUAUAAUAGAGCUGAAAAAUUCCUGCUGCCUAGUGACAUUGUCGCUGUUGUGAUGAUGUUGUAGCUAUUGUAGUAGCACAAUGCAUUACUCACGUGUUUGUGGUGUUCCUGUUGUAAAUAAGUCGACUAUGCUGCCAGUUGUAUAAACGUCUAGCACAUGUAAUUCUGUAUAGUACACAAUACUUGGUAAUGAUAAUAAACGACUAUGUUACUGGUUUAUAUAUUUGUUGUACUAUUUAUCAUUACUUUAGAGUGUAUUC